CACGACCAGACAUCUCUCGGAUGAAUGGGAUGAAAGAAACCACGACCAGACAUCUCUCGAUGAAUGGGAAGAAAGUAACCACAACCAGACAUCAACAGAAGAAUGGGAAGAAAGCAACCACGACCAGACAUCUCUCGAUGAAUGGGAAGAAAGAAACCACGACCAGACAUCUCUCGGAUGAAUGGGAAGAAAGAAACCACGACCAGACAUCAACAGAUGAAUGGGAAGAAAGAAACCACGACCAGACAUCUCUCGAUGAAUGGGAAGAAAGAAACCACGACCAGACAUCAACGGAUGAAUGGGAAGAAAGAAACCACGACCA
rnacentral:lncRNA from 1 species